rnacentral:rRNA from 1 species
UACGAAGGGGGCUAGCGUUGUUCGGAAUCACUGGGCGUAAAGCGCACGUAGGCGGAUUCUUAAGUCGGGGGGUGAAAACUCCUGAGGCUCAACCUCAGAACUGCCUUCGAUACUGGGGAUCUUGAGUUCGGAAGAGGUUGGUGGAACAGCUAGUGUAGAGGUGAAAUUCGUAGAUAUUAGCUAGAACACCAGUGGCGAAGGCGGCCAACUGGUCCGACACUGACGCUGAGGUGCGAA